GGCGAACGCUGGCGGCGUGCUUAACACAUGCAAGUCGAACGGAAAGGCCCUGCUUUUGUGGGGUGCUCGAGUGGCGAACGGGUGAGUAACACGUGAGUAACCUGCCCUUGACUUUGGGAUAACUUCAGGAAACUGGGGCUAAUACCGGAUAGGAGCUCCUGCUGCAUGGUGGGGGUUGGAAAGUUUCGGCGGUUGGGGAUGGACUCGCGGCUUAUCAGCUUGUUGGUGGGGUAGUGGCUUACCAAGGCUUUGACGGGUAGCCGGCCUGAGAGGGUGACCGGCCACAUUGGGACGGAGAUACGGCCCAGACUCCUACGGGAGGCAGCAGUGGGGAAUAUUGCACAAUGGGCGGAAGCCUGAUGCAGCAACGCCGCGUGCGGGAUGACGGCCUUCGGGUUGUAAACCGCUUUCGCCUGUGACGAAGCGUGAGUGACGGUAAUGGGUAAAGAAGCACCGGCUAACUACGUG
rnacentral:rRNA from 1 species